rnacentral:rRNA from 1 species
CUGCAGCCCGAGUGGUGAUCGAUUUUAUUGAGCCUAAAGCGUCCGUAGCCGGACUAGUAAACCCUUGGGUAAAUUGGGCAGCUUAACUGUCCGAAUUCCGAGGGGACUGCUAGUCUUGGGACCGGGAGAGGUCAGAGGUACUCCAGGGGUAGGGGCUAAAUCCUGUAAUCCUUGGGGGACCACCAGUGGCGAAGGCGUCUGACUAGAACGGAUCCGACGGUAAGGGACGAAACCCUGGGGCGCAAACCGGAUUAGAUACCCGAGUAGUCC